rnacentral:rRNA from 1 species
AGUGAACGCUGGCGGUAGGCCUAACACAUGCAAGUCGAACGGCAGCACAGUAAGAGCUUGCUCUUACGGGUGGCGAGUGGCGGACGGGUGAGGAAUACAUCGGAAUCUACUUUUUCGUGGGGGAUAACGUAGGGAAACUUACGCUAAUACCGCAUACGACCUACGGGUGAAAGCAGGGGAUCUUCGGACCUUGCGCGAUUGAAUGAGCCGAUGUCGGAUUAGCUAGUUGGCGGGGUAAAGGCCCACCAAGGCGACGAUCCGUAGCUGGUCUGAGAGGAUGAUCAGCCACACUGGAACUGAGACACGGUCCAGACUCCUGCGGGAGGCAGCAGUGGGGAAUAUUGGACAAUGGGCGCAAGCCUGAUCCAGCCAUACCGCGUGGGUGGAGAAGGCCUUCGGGUUGUAAAGCCCUUUUGUUGGGAAAGAAAAGCAGCAGGUUAAUACCCCGCUGUUCUGACGGUACCCAAAGAAUAAGCACCGGCUAACUUCGUG